GGGUAUGAAGGAUUGUGCAGAACUUGCCACCACGAAAACUCAGAGAAGCUCAAUUCCACUGAAAAGAGGCCGGCAGCUUCUUAAAAAAUUGGAAGACUACACUAGACCAUCAGAUCAAAUUGCUGAACAAACAGCGUACCAAAAUGCCUACGUUAUGCACUGUGGAACGCUCUG